rnacentral:sRNA from 1 species
CGCACGUGAAAUACCCGAGACCCUUGCAGGGUGCUUGAGUUCCCUUAUCGGCUCUCCCCGGCGCGUCUAGAACCGCAGGCGUUUCCUCCGUCGCCUGCUGGUGACGUGCCCACCUCGCCUCGCUUGUUCCGCAAAAACGGAAGGCGAGGCUUUUU